GGAAGUUGUACUUACCAUGCAGUGAGGCACACCCAAGAGAGCCACCAAGCCAUGUCUGUGGACUGACUCCCCAAGAUCCUGGUGCCAAUCUGGUCAACUGGAGCAGCUAUGCCUCACUGAUGUGUGCUUGCUGUUGGGCAUGCUGAUAGGGGUGGACGCCAUUUAAUAGCAUGAGUAUUGGUCACUUUGGCAGCUCACUCCACUACCACCAUUUCAUGGACCAAGUGCCAUAUGAGAUUUCAGGAUUUCAGCCUCAGGCAAAACUUCAAACCAAAGGGAAUUCUUCUCACAGUCACAAACAACAGAAGUC